UUUUCUUGCAUUUUCUAACUUUUAAAAUGGUAUCUGUACCCAAGUUCAAAGGUCUUUAAAUCACCAAAAGAGGACUCAGUUCUCUCCUUCUCCUUUGAAUUAGGCCAGCUGAUCUUCCUUCAAAGUGUUUUGGCCAUCUAUCCUGUUCAUUUGUUUUCUAUAGACUUUUUGGCUUGUUUAGGCCCUCACUGUCUCUUACCCAGGCCAUUAAAAUAGAGCCUGGCUGGGUUCUCUAUUGCUGUCCAUUUGGUACACUGCUACCAGAAGAAUGUAUCUGAAAUAUAACUUACAGCAUAUUACUCCUCUCCUCAAACACCUUUGGCUGCUCCCUAUUGCCAAUAGGGUAACAUUCAAAUAUCUCAUUUGGGAAGGUUAAACUUCUUUCAAAAUUUUAUCUCAGUCUCUGUUUCCAGCCUUGCCUCUUUUUUUCUCCCUGUUAGAUAUCCUUCAUGCCAGCCAGGCGUGGUGGCUCACACCUGUAAUCCCAGCACUUUGGGAGGUCAAGACAGGCAGAUUGCUUGUGCUCAGGAGUUCAAAACCAGCCAGGGCAACAUGGUGAAACCCUGUCUCUAUAAAAAACACAAAAAUUAGCCAGGUGUGGUGGUGGCCGCCUGUAGUCCCAGCUACUAGGGAAGCUGAGGUGGGAGAAUUGCUUGAGCCUGGGAGGUCGAGGCUGCAGUGAGCCAAGAUUGUGCCCCUGCACUCCUGCCUGGGCAACAGAGCAAGACCCUGUCUCAAAAAAAAAAAAAAAGAUAUCCUUCAUGCCAGCCAAAUCUGUCCACAGCCUCUAGGACCUAGGCUCCACUGUUCCUCAUGCUGAACCUGACUCACAUCCUUAUCACGGGCUACCCCUCCUGAACCCCAUCUCCUCUCCCAAAAUCCCACCUAUCCUCUAAGAUCUAGCUCAGAUUCUACCUCCUCCAUCCAUUGUUUCUUGAUUCUACUGAGUAGAAUAAUCUCUUCUUUCCGCUUUCUCUAAUGACUAUGUAAGGGAAAUACAGAUGAUGAUAAGAGCCACUAAGAGCAGUACAGCUAAUAUGGAAUGAUGUCCUAGCUCUUCCCUCCACUGUACUAUGCCCUUCACUUGCAUCAUCUCAGUUCAUCCUCAUGGAGAUCCUGUGAUAGUACUUUUUAUUUUAAAGAUGAGAAAGCUGAUUUAAUGAGGUUACAUAAAUUGCCCAAGAUCACAUAGCUCAUUUUUGGUUUUAUGUAAAUUAUUCAUAUAUUUCUCUUGUCUCUCCUCCAGAUGGAUAGCUCUCUGAAAGCGGGAAGCAUGCCUUGUUCAGGGCCCACUUUAUGCCAGACACUGUGCCAGACUGGAAUGCAGAGAUGAGGUCACAGUCCACUCCUUAUGACCACUGCAAACAAGAAAAGGUAAGAGCCUGGACCAAGGUGGUAGAAAUGAAGAUGCAUGGGAGGGGAUAGACCAGAGAGAGGUUUAGAGAGGUCCUCCACAGAUGUACACUGGAUGAAAGUAUGAGACCAAAUGACUUAGGGUCUUGGCAAAUAAAGAUGGCACACUCAAGGGCUUCAGAGACUGAACACUCCAUCUCUCACUCCUACCCUCUCAUCUGCUGGUGUCAUCCAUUGGCUGCACUCCAUCAGACCCCCCAGUGGGGGACCCAGAUAAUGCAGCAAGUGGGGCCAUCUUCCUCCCCCACAGAGCCUGGAACAGAAGAGCCUUUUUGUGGUUCCUUUUAGUUUUGCCAAGCUUGGUGUGAUCACACUUUCACUAUUGAAUUGUUAGUAGCAUUACUGAAGUACUUGGACAACACAUCAUUAUUUAGAUAAAUAAAUAUUUAUU
rnacentral:lncRNA from 1 species